AACGGCCGUACCAUGCUGAAUAUACCGGUUCUCGUUAGAUCACUGAAGUCAAGCAUCAUUGGGCGCGGUCAGUACUUGGGAGGGUGACCACCUGGGAACACUGCGUGCCGU
rnacentral:rRNA from 1 species